CUUGGUCAUUUAGAGGAAGUAAAAGUCGUAACAAGGUCUCCGUAGGUGAACCUGCGGAGGGAUCAUUACAAGAACGCCCGGGCUUCGGCCUGGUUAUUCAUAACCCUUUGUUGUCCGACUCUGUUGCCUCCGGGGCGACCCUGCCUUCGGGCGGGGGCUCCGGGUGGACACUUCAAACUCUUGCGUAACUUUGCAGUCUGAGUAAACUUAAUUAAUAAAUUAAAACUUUUAACAACGGAUCUCUUGGUUCUGGCAUCGAUGAAGAACGCAGCGAAAUGCGAUAAGUAAUGUGAAUUGCAGAAUUCAGUGAAUCAUCGAAUCUUUGAACGCACGUUGCGCCCCCUGGUAUUCCGGGGGGCAUGCCUGUUCGAGCGUCAUUUCACCACUCAAGCCUCGCUUGGUAUUGGGCAACGCGGUCCGCCGCGUGCCUCAAAUCGUCCGGCUGGGUCUUCUGUCCCCUAAGCGUUGUGGAAACUAUUCGCUAAAGGGUGUUCGGGAGGCUACGCCGUAAAACAACCCCAUUUCUAAGGUUGACCUCGGAUCAGGUAGGGAUACCCGCUGAACUUAAGCAUAUCAAUAAGCGGAGGAAAAGAAACCAACAGGGAUUGCUCUAGUAACGGCGAGUGAAGCGGCAACAGCUCAAAUUUGAAAUCUGGCCCUAGGCCCGAAUUGUAAUUUGCAGAGGAUGCUUCUGGUAACGUGCCUUCGGAGUCCCCUGGAACGGGGCGCCAGAGAGGGUGAGAGCCCCGUAUCGUUGUGCACCGCGCCUUUGUGUAGCGCCUUCGACGAGUCGAGUUGUUUGGGAAU
rnacentral:sRNA from 1 species